rnacentral:rRNA from 1 species
GACGAACGCUGGCGGCGUGCUUAACGCAUGCAAGUCGAACGGAAAGGCCCUGCUUUUGUGGGGUGCUCGAGUGGCGAACGGGUGAGUAACACGUGAGUAACCUGCCCUUGACUUUGGGAUAACUUCAGGAAACUGGGGCUAAUACCGGAUAGGAGCUCCUGCUGCAUGGUGGGGGUUGGAAAGUUUCGGCGGUUGGGGAUGGACUCGCGGCUUAUCAGCUUGUUGGUGGGGUAGUGGCUUACCAAGGCUUUGACGGGUAGCCGGCCUGAGAGGGCGAGCGGCCACAUUGGAACUGAGAUACGGCCCAGACUCCUACGGGCGGCAGCAGUGGGGAAUAUUGCACAAUGGGCGGAAGCCUGAUGCAGCAACGCCGCGUGCGGGAUGACGGCCUUCGGGUUGUAAACCGCUUUCGCCUGUGACGAAGCGUGAGUGACGGUAAUGGGUAAAGAAGCACCGGCUAACUACGUG